rnacentral:rRNA from 1 species
AAGUCGUAACAAGGUUUCCGUAGGUGAACCUGCGGAAGGAUCAUUAAUGAAAUGUUAGGAUGCUCUUUUUAGAGGUCCGACCCAAUUCAUUUUCACACACUGUGCACACACUACUUUUUACACCCAUUUUAUAACUCUGUAAAGAAUGUCAAAAGUCUCUUAACUGAGCAUACAAUCAAUAUUAAAACUUUCGGCAACGGAUCUCUUGGCUCUCGCAUCGAUGAAGAACGCAGCGAAAUGCGAUACGUAAUGUGAAUUGCAGAAUUCAGUGAAUCAUCGAAUCUUUGAACGCACCUUGCACUCUUUGGUAUUCCGAAGAGUAUGUCUGUUUGAGUGUCAUGAAAUUCUCAACCCCCCUAUUUUGUAACGAGAUAGGAGCUAGGGCUUGGAUGUGGUUGUUGCAGGCUCUUUAAGUAGAGCCAGCUCGACUGAAAUACAUGAGCAACCCAGUUUGAAUAAUCAGCGGCUUGACUCGACGUAAUAUUUUAUUCGUUGAGGACGCUAACCUUUCAAGAUAGUUGGUGCUUCUAAUUCGUACUUCGGUACACUUUUAAGCUUUAGACCUCAAAUCAGUCAGGACUACCCGCUGAACUUAA